rnacentral:rRNA from 1 species
GACGAACGCUGGCGGCGUGCUUAACACAUGCAAGUCGAACGGAAAGGCCCUGCUUUUGUGGGGUGCUCGAGUGGCGAACGGGUGAGUAACACGUGAGUAACCUGCCCUUGACUUUGGGAUAACUACAGGAAACUGGGGCUAAUACCGGAUAGGAGCUCCUGCUGCAUGGUGGGGGUUGGAAAGUUUCGGCGGGGGGGGAUGGACUCGCGGCUUAUCAGCUUGUUGGUGGGGUAGUGGCUUACCAAGGCUUUGACGGGUAGCCGGCCUGAGAGGGUGACCGGCCACAUUGGGACUGAGAUACGGCCCAGACUCCUACGGGAGGCAGCAGUGGGGAAUAUUGCACAAUGGGCGGAAGCCUGAUGCAGCAACGCCGCGUGCGGGAUGACGGCCUUCGGGUUGUAAACCGCUUUCGCCUGUGACGAAGCGUGAGUGACGGUAAUGGGUAAAGAAGCACCGGCUAACUACGUG